UCUUAAAGGCGUAAGAACUGUAUC
rnacentral:siRNA from 1 species